rnacentral:rRNA from 1 species
UACAGAGGAGCCAAGCGUUGUCCGGAUUGACUGGGCGUAAAGCGCACGCAGGCGGACGCGCGCGUGGGGUGUGAAAUCUGGCCGCUUAACGGCCAGGCGCCAUCCCAUACGGCGGGUCUGGAGCCUUGCAGAGGUCGGUGGAAUUGCCGGUGUAGUGGUGAAAUGCGUAGAGAUCGGCAGGAACAUCUGUGGCGAAGGCGGCCAUCUGGACCAGCACUGACACUGAGGCACGAAAGCGUGGGGAGCAAACAGG